rnacentral:rRNA from 1 species
AGGGAAUAUUGGGCAAUGGACGCAAGUCUGACCCAGCCAUGCCGCGUGCAGGAUGAAAGCCCUAUGGGUUGUAAACUGCUUUUAUACGGGAAAAAACUCCUCGAUGCGUCGAGGAUUGAUGGUACUGUAAGAAUAAGCAUCGGCUAACUCCGUGCCAGCAGCCGCGGUAAUACGGAGGACGCAAGCGUUAUCCGGAUUUAUUGGGUUUAAAGGGUGCGUAGGCGGAAUGAUAAGUCAGUGGUGAAAGCCUACAGCUUAACUGUAGAACUGCCGUUGAUACUGUCAAUCUAGAGUAUGUUUGAAGUGGGCGGAAUGUAGCAUGUAGCGGUGAAAUGCUUAGAUAUGCUACAGAACACCAAUUGCGAAGGCAGCUCACUAAACCAUAACUGACGCUGAGGCACGAAAGCGUGGGGAGCAAAC